GCAUUGAUUGUUCAGUAGUCGAAUUCUUGCCUUCCAUGCAAGAGAUCUAGGUUCAAUUCCCAGCCAACACA
rnacentral:tRNA from 1 species